rnacentral:rRNA from 1 species
UACGUAGGGUGCAAGCGUUGUCCGGAAUUAUUGGGCGUAAAGAGCUUGUAGGCGGUUUGUCGCGUCUGCUGUGAAAUUUCGGGGCUCAACCCCGAACUUGCAGUGGGUACGGGCAGACUAGAGUGUGGUAGGGGAGACUGGAAUUCCUGGUGUAGCGGUGAAAUGCGCAGAUAUCAGGAAGAACACCCGUGGCGAAGGCGGCUCUCUGGGACGUGACUGACGCUGAGACGCGAAAGCGUGGGGAGCGAACAGG